rnacentral:rRNA from 1 species
AUGUACACUGAUGGAGCAGCUAAAUGCAUGUUUUUUGUUUUUUCAGGUAUGGCUGCAGCGAUGUACAAUGCUGAAAACUGGGACGGCACCUAUGUCCUGGAAGGCAAGGUGCAAGACAAUAGGCAAGAUAAUUCAAGAGCAGGAAUUUCUUCUCAAGCAUCCAGAUUCAACAUAGGGAAGAGGAGGCAACUACAUGUGAAGGCUAGCAGUAUCACACGGGAGGUACAGAGGGGUAGUCCCAGUAGUUCAAGAACUAAACAGGAAUCAAGAUUUUCUGUUUUGUUUUUGCCCAAGGAUUAG